AUGUUAGUCAAUAUACAUGUAGGUAUCAUUUGUCAAGACCUCACUCCAGUCGAGAUUGAAGUGAACAGUGUAGAGGGUGACACUGUUACAUUGUCCUACAACUUCUCCAAAACUGCUACAGCUGGAGAUAAUUUUUUCUGGUAUCGCCAAGACUCUGGAAAGAACCCUGAAUUCCUCUUGUUAAUCUCAGGAUUUGAGUCCUCCAUUAAAACUAGCAAACUCAACAAUCGAAUAUCUGGUUACCUGACUGGAGGGAAAGACCGCCUGGAUCUGAUCAUCUCCUCUGCUGAAGUGACAGACUCUGCUCUGUACUACUGUGCUGUGAGGCCCACAGUGACAGGAAAUACAGACACACUGUACAAAAACCUGACUAGACCAAUCACAGGAACUGAACCAUGA